CCGUUGCCGGCGACCGGCGCACGGGUGAGUAACACGUAUGCAACCUGCCCGUGGGCAGGGGGAGUAAGCGGGGGAAAACCCCCGGUCUAAUACCGCGUAACGCGGCCUAGGGACAUCCCAAGGCCGCCAAAGGGAGCAAUCCCGGCCACGGAUGGGCAUGCGGCGCAUUAGCUAGUCGGCGGGGUAACGGCCCACCGAGGCGACGAUGCGUAGGGGUUCUGAGAGGAAGGCCCCCCACACUGGUACUGAGACACGGACCAGACUCCUACGGAAGGCAGCAG
rnacentral:rRNA from 1 species